AGCUUUGUGCAAUGGCAGUAUUGUAGCCAAUGAGGUUUAUCUGAGGCCCGAUUAUUGCUAACUGAAAACUUUUCCCAAUGCCCCACCAUGACAACUUGAAUUAUAGUCGGCAUUGGCAAUUUUUGACAGUCUCUACAGAGA
ensembl:snRNA U4 U4 spliceosomal RNA